GAUGAACGCUGGCGGCGUGCCUAAUACAUGCAAGUCGAGCGAACAGAUGAGGAGCUUGCUCCUCUGACGGUAGCGGCGGACGGGGGAGUAACACGUGGAUAACCUACCUAUAAGACUGGGAUAACUUCGGGAAACCGGAGCUAAUACCGGAUAAUAUAUUGAACCGCAUGGUUCAAUAGUGCGAUUAGGUUGUUGUGGCACUUAUAGAUGGAUCCGCGCCGCAUUCGCUAGUUGGUGAGGUAACCGCUUACCAAGGCGACGAUGCGUAGACGGCCCCAACGGGGGGUUGGCCACCCUGGAAGUGAGACACGGUCGCGACUCCUACGGGAGGCAGCAGUAGGGAAUCUUCCGCAAUGGGCGAAAGCCUGACGGAGCAAAGCCGCGUGAGUGAUGAAGGUCUUCGGAUCGUAAAACUCUGUUAUUAGGGAAAACCAAAUGUGUAAGUAACUAUGCACGUCUUGACGGUACCUGAUCAGAAAGCCACGGCUAACUACGUG
rnacentral:rRNA from 1 species